rnacentral:misc_RNA from 1 species
AACAAGGCGUACCUGCGGACCUGCGGAAGGAUCAUUGAUAAAAGAUAUCUGCCGACAAGGGUUAAGAGUACCCUUGUCGUGCCAUAACCUGUGCACCUGCCGGUGUUUGGUUACCUCAGGGUAACAUCUUUCUUUGGGGAACAAUUACUGAUUUACUGCAGGUGCAGCGUUAGAGUUUAACGCUGCAACUGCAGUAAAGCAGGUUCCCCAGAAGGAUUUAUCCAGAUGAGGUGGCUAAUU